rnacentral:rRNA from 1 species
UUUUUAUCCAAGGGGGCCAAAUCUCACCUUUAUUAGAAGAGACGCAUCUAUUAGAUAAAAAGCCAAUGCAUUCUUUUACAGUAUGGAAAUUGGUGAUUUAUAAUAACUUAGCAAAUCGCAAAGUGAAAACUGGCGAUAAAUCAUUCAAGUUUCUGACCUAUCAGCUUUCGACGGUAUGGUAUUGGCUUACCGUGGCAGUGACGGUUCACGGGGGAUUAGGGUUUGAUUCCGGAGAGGGAGCCUGAGAAACGGCUACCACAUCUAAGGAAGGCAGCAGGCGCGCAAAUUACCCAAUUCUAACAGUUUGAGAGAGGUAGUAACAAGAAAUAACAAUACAAGGCAACUAAAAUGUUUUGUAAUUGGAAUGAUAGAAAUUUAAACCCUUUUUAAAGUCUCAAUUGGAGGGCAAGUCUGGUGCCAGCAGCCGCGGUAAUUCCAGCUCCAAUAGCGUAUAUUAAAAUUGUUGCAGUUAAAAAGCUCGUAGUUGAAGUUCUGUUAAAAGUAACCGGUCUGCUUUUAAUAAAAGUGGUAUCUUGGUGUGUAUUUAGCAAUGAUGUCCUUUGAAGUGUUUUUUACUUUAUUGUAAUAAAGCAUAUUCAGGACUUUUACUUUGAGAAAAUUAGAGUGUUUCUAGCAGGCCGACGCUUUGAAUACUGUCAGCCAUGGAAAUAAUAAAGCAUAGGGAUUUUAGUUUCUACCAUA